rnacentral:tRNA from 1 species
GGGUAGGUACGCACGCGGUCAAAUCAGACAGACUGUAAAUCUGUUGUCUCAUGACUUCGGGGGUUCGAAUCCCUCCCUGCCCA